AACACCUUAAUACACAUUAUAACCCCCCGAUUCACGCCCAGCUAUAAUAUGAAGGUUUAUAACCCCCUGAUGCACGCCCAGCUAUAAUAUGAAGGUUUAUAACACCUUAAUACACAUUAUAACCCCCUGAUGCACGCCCAGCUAUAAUAUGAAGGUUUAUAACCCCCUGAUGCACGCCCAGCUAUAAUAUGAAGGUUUAUAACCCCCUGAUGCACGCCCAGCUAUAAUAUGAAGGUUUAUAACCCCCUGAUGCACGCCCAGCUAUAAUAUGAAGGUUUAUAACCCCCUGAUGCACGCCCAGCUAUAAUAUGAAGGUUUAUAACCCCCUGAUCUACGCCCAGCUAUAAUAUGAAGGUUUAUAACCCCCUGAUGCACGCCCAGCUAUAAUAUGAAGGUUUAUAACCCCCUGAUCUACGCCCAGCUAUAAUAUGAAGGUUUAUAACACCUUAAUACACAUUAUAACCCCCUGAUGCACGCCCAGCUAUAAUAUGAAGGUUUAUAACCCCCUGAUGCACGCCCAGCUAUAAUAUGAAGGUUUAUAACACCUUAAUACACAUUAUAACCCCCCGAUUCACGCCCAGCUAUA